rnacentral:rRNA from 1 species
CUGGAGGCAGCAGUGGGGAAUAUUGGACAAUGGGCGAAAGCCUGAUCCAGCAAUACCGCGUGAAUGAUGAAGGCCUUAGGGUUGUAAAGUUCUUUUAGUUGGGAAGAUAAUGACGGUACCAACAGAAAAAGCCCCGGCUAACUCCGUGCCAGCAGCCGCGGUAAGACGGAGGGGGCUAGCGUUGUUCGGAAUUACUGGGCGUAAAGGGCGCGUAGGCGGAUUAGUAAGUUGGGAGUGAAAGCCCGGGGCUUAACCUCGGAACUGCUUUCAAAACUGCUAGUCUUGAGUGAAGUAGGGGAUGAUGGAAUUCCUAGUGUAGAGGUGAAAUUCUUAGAUAUUAGGAGGAACACCGGUGGCGAAGGCGGUCAUCUGGACUUCAACUGACGCUGAGGCGCGAAAGCGUGGGGAGCAAACAGGAUUAGAUACCCUUUAGUC